GUGGCAAGCACCAGUAAUUCCAGCUACUCGAGAGACUGGGUCACGAGAAUCACUUGAACCCAGAAGGCAGGAGGUUGCAGUGAGCUGAGAUUGCACUACUGUACUCUAGCAUGGGGGACACAAGUGAGACUGUCACACACACACAAAAAAAAGAGUGAAUCUUUGUGAUCAUCCUGGAGGAAAUGUACAGAGAGAACUCGGAGAACCAGUUUUAUGGGCUGUCGAUUAACCUGACAGAAAGGACACUCUGUUCUUGAUACCUCAAUAAUACAUUUAUAUUAGCAUGUCACUUUCUCCAACUCUAUUUUCAUAGUUGGUUCAGGCUGCCAUAACAAAAUUCCAUAGACUGGGUGGCUUAAACAACAGAUAUUUAUUUCCCACAGUUCUGGGGGGUGAGGAAAGCCCUGGUAGGUUUCCUGUCUGAUGAGGGACCGUUUCCUGGUUCAUAGAUGGCACCAUAUAGCUGUGUCCUCACAUGGUGGAAGGAGCAAGGCAGUUCUCUGACGUCUCUUUCACAAGGGCACUUAUCCCAUUUGUGAGGGCCCCACCCUCAUGAUCUAAUCACCUGCCAAAGCCCUGCCUCCUAAUACUAUUGCCUUGGGGGUCAGGAUUGCAACAUCUGAACUUUGGGGUAGGUGGGCAAGGGAAUGGAACACAAACAUUCAGACCAUAGCAUCUGUUUUUCUGAUUUGAAAAACUGGCAUAAUGACAUCUAUAUCUACACGGAUGAAUUUACAGGGUCUUAAAAAGAUUCUUCGCACAUUAAAAAAUGUUAGGACAUGUUGCUAAUUUUUUUUUUUUAAAGAUUACCAUUAUUGGAGAUUUGGGGGGGAGGGUGUGAUCAGUUAGGCUUCUUUAUGUUGGAAGAUUUGGAUUACUAAUGAAAUUUAUUUACUUGUGAUAGGCCUAUUUAGACUCCCUACUUUUGAAUAGAAGUACAAAGAACUUUCAUAUUGUUUUGUUAGGCAAACAGAUUUACUUAAAAUUAAGGCAAAAAGUUCACUUAGGGUCUUAACUGAUCUUGGUUUUCCUUUCCAUCGAUCUGUUCAAUCGACAAUUGCCAGAUUUUCAUGUAGUGUCUGAAUGACUUACACACACACACACACACACACACACACACACACACACGAGAUAUCAUGUGGUCAGUAUU